UUCAUUUCAGUCGGAUGCAAGUCGGGUUUUGUUAUCAUAUUACCGGUUCAAUUCGGGUUCAGGUCAUUCUCAGAUCAGGUGCAGGUCAGGUUCAGAUCCACAAUUUCCAAGUCCAACUCGAGUUCAGAUAAACACCAGUUCGGACUCGAUUCGGUUUCGGAUCACCAUCGCCCAGGUCACAAACAGUUUUGACUCGAGUCGAUUUCAGUCAAUUUUACAGGCCGGGUCAACUUUUACAUCCCUAACUACUUGGGUCAUGGAUUCUACUUUUUUUUAUCUAAAACUCCUAAAAGUGUUUCAAUUUUCCCUUUCGAAUUAUGUUUGUAGGACACUUUUAUUUUUCAGGGUAAAAUAUUUAGUACCUAAACUAUUAUUUUAUUUUGUUUUGGUAUUUAAACUUUUAGUUUUUUUUAAAAUCAAAAUUAAUAUUUAGUUUAAAUUUAAGUUUAGUACCACACUGUUAAAAAUUAAAAGAAUUAUUGAUGUGAUAUUUUUAUGUUUUUAAUGAUGACAUAUCAUUGCUUUAUUGUGACACAUCAACACAACUUUUAAGUUUUUAACAAUGAGAUAUCAAAUUGAAAUUUAAAAUAAAUAUUAAGUAUAAUUUUAAAAAUAAUAAAAUUUGAAUACCAAAAUGAAAUGAAAUCAAUAAUUUAAGUAACGUGUAGUUUACCUUCUUCUUNACUCAUUCUUUUGGAGCCAUCAUUUUUCCUAUUUUUGCUUUAGAGUAGUUGUAGAUUAUUGAGGAUGAGUAAGUGUUCAUCUUAAUUUUCUUUGAAAUAAUUAUUUAUUUUAUUAUUUAUAUUUAUUCUAAAAUUUUAUUUGUGUAUAUUUAUACAAAAGUUUUAUGUUAUUUACGAUAGAUUGUUUCGUUGAGUCGUGCAACGGAAUUGAGAGCUUCAAGUGGGACAUUUUAGGUAUGCAGAACUGACGAUAAGGGAUGAACCAAAAGUCGGGUUAAGGUGACCAAUGACGCACUAACCUAGAACCCAUAAAGGGUGUUGGUUGGUUAAGACAGUUGGACGGUGGUCGUGGAAGUCGAAAUUCACUAAAAAGUGUGUAACAACUCUGCUGCGGAAUCAACUAGUCCAAACAAUGGAUGGCACUUAAGUGCAUGCCCUAUACUCGGCCGUCGGGGCAAGGGCCCGUCCCAGAUGAGUAGGAGGGUGCAACUAUCACUGUAAAACCUAGGGUGUGAGCUCGGGCGGAGCGGCCAUCGGUGGAGAUCUUGGUGGUAUGAGCAAAUUUUCAAAUGAGAACUUUGAAGGUUGAAGAGAUGAAAGGUUCCAUGUGAAUGACAAUUGCACAUGGGUUAGUCGAUCCUAAGAUAUGGGGGAAGCUCGUCUAAUAGUGCAUUUUGUGCAAUCUUUGAAAAUGAAUAAGUUUAAAAUUCUUAAACUGGGACACAGCGGUUGACGGCAACAUUAAGAAAGUCUGGAGACAUCAGUGGCGGCCUCGAGAAGAGUUAUAUUUUCUAUUUAACAACCUACCCACCUAGGAAACAACUCAGUCGGAGGUAGAGUCCAGUGGUCGGAAGAGCACCGACGUCACGUGGUGUCUGGUGCGCCCUUGGCGAAGCUUAAAAUUUUAGAGGAUCGAGUGCCAUCGACGCCCAGUCAUACUCAUAUCCGUAUCAGGUUUCCAAGGUGAAAAACCUCUGGUCGAUGGAUCAAAGUAGGAAAGGGAAGUCUGAAAAAUGGAUAUGUAACCUCAGGAAAAUGAUUGACUUUGAGGGCUAGGCGUGGGGUCCUAGCCCUAAACCCGUCGGCUACCAAUGUACUGCUCGAGCUACUCCCAUUUCAAGAGCAGGUUUCCGCGUACCUACUGGGGGACAGACUGGGAAUAGCUCAUUCAGGGGCCUUCCCCAGACGACGAACAGUCGACUUAGAAUUGGUACGGAUAAGGGAAUUCGAUUUUUUAAUUAAAACAAAGUAUUACGAUGGUCCCUGUGGAUGCUCACGCAAUGUGAUUUAUGUGCAGUGCUUUGAAUGUCAAACUGAAGAAAUUCAACCAAGUACGGGUAAACGGAGGGAGUAACUAUGACUUUCUUAAGGUAGCGAAAUGACUUUUCAUUUAAUUAGUGACAUUCAUAGAUGGAUUAAUGAUAUUCCCACUGUCACUGUCUACUAUCCAGCGAAACCACAGCCAAGAGAACAGGCUAGGCAGAAUCAACGGGAAAAGAAGACCCUAUUGAGCUUGACUCUAGUCCGACUUUUUGAAAUGACUUAAGAGGUGUAGGAUAUGUGGGAGCUCUCGGGAGAAAUUGAAAUACCACUACUUUUAACGUUAUUUUACUUAUUCUAUGAAUUGGAAGCGGGGCACAACCACCCCUCUUUUUGGACCCAAGGCCAGCUUUGGUUAGUCAAUUCGGGUAGAAGAAUUUUACAGGUGGGGAGUUUGGCUUGGGCAACACAUCUAUGAAAAGAUAACGCAUGUGUACUAAGAUGAGCUCAAUGAGGAAAGAAAUCUCGUGUGGAACAAAAGGGUAAAAGUUCAUUUGAUUCUAAUUUCCAGUACGAAUACGAACCGUGAAAGCUUGGCCUAAUGAUCAUUUAAACCUUCUGAAUUUGAAGCUAAAGGUUUCAAAAAAGUUACCACAUGGAUAACUGGCUUGUGGUAGCCAAGCCUUCAUAACGAUGUUGCUUUUUGAUCCUUUGAUGUCGGCUCUUCCUAUCAUUGUGAAGCAGCAUUCACCAAGUGUUCGAUUUUUCACCCACUAAUAGGGAACGUGAGCUGGGUUUAGACUGUCGUGAGACAAGUUAGUUUUACCCUACUGAUUAUCGCGUUGCAAUAGUAAAUCAACCUAGUACAAGAGGAAUCGUUGAUUCACAUAAUUGGUCAUUGCGAAUGAUUGAAAAGCCAGUGGCGCAAAGCUAUCGUGUACUGGAUUAUGACUAAACUCCUUUAAGUAAGAAUCCAGGCUAGAAGGGACUUAUACGUUUGUCACCCAAUUUUUGACCUGUAAUAGAGGCCUCAACCCCCAAGGGCACGUAUCGUGAGUGCAGCACGCAUGUCAGACAAGUCAUGCGUGCCUCCU
rnacentral:rRNA from 1 species